rnacentral:rRNA from 1 species
UUAAGCGACUAAGCGUACACGGUGGAUGCCCUGGCAGUCAGAGGCGAUGAAGGACGUGCUAAUCUGCGAAAAGCGUCGGUAAGGUGAUAUGAACCGUUAUAACCGGCGAUGUCCGAAUGGGGAAACCCAGUGCAAUUCGUUGCACUAUCGUUAACUGAAUACAUAGGUUAACGAGGCGAACCGGGGGAACUGAAACAUCUAAGUACCCCGAGGAAAAGAAAUCAACCGAGAUUCCCCCAGUAGCGGCGAGCGAACGGGGAGCAGCCCAGAGUCUGAAUCAGCUUGUGUGUUAGUGGAACGGUCUGGAAAGUCCGACGGUACAGGGUGAUAGUCCCGUACACCAAAAUGCACAGGUUGUGAACUCGAAGAGUAGGGCGGGACACGUGGUAUCCUGUCUGAAUAUGGGGGGACCAUCCUCCAAGGCUAAAUACUCCUGACUGACCGAUAGUGAACCAGUACCGUGAGGGAAAGGCGAAAAGAACCCCGGCGAGGGGAGUGAAAAAGAACCUGAAACCGUGUACGUACAAGCAGUGGGAGCACCUUCGGGUGUGACUGCGUACCUUUUGUAUAAUGGGUCAGCGACUUAUAUUCUGUAGCAAGGUUAACCGUAUAGGGGAGCCGCAGGGAAACCGAGUCUUAACUGGGCGUUAAGUUGCAGGGUAUAGACCCGAAACCCGGUGAUCUAGCCAUGGGCAGGUUGAAGGUUGGGUAACACUAACUGGAGGACCGAACCGACUAAUGUUGAAAAAUUAGCGGAUGACUUGUGGCUGGGGGUGAAAGGCCAAUCAAACCGGGAGAUAGCUGGUUCUCCCCGAAAGCUAUUUAGGUAGCGCCUCGUGAACUCAUCUUCGGGGGUAGAGCACUGUUUCGGCUAGGGGGUCAUCCCGACUUACCAACCCGAUGCAAACUACGAAUACCGAAGAAUGUUAUCACGGGAGACACACGGCGGGUGCUAACGUCCGUCGUGAAGAGGGAAACAACCCAGACCGCCAGCUAAGGUCCCAAAGUCAUGGUUAAGUGGGAAACGAUGUGGGAAGGCACAGACAGCCAGGAUGUUGGCUUAGAAGCAGCCAUCAUUUAAAGAAAGCGUAAUAGCUCACUGGUCGAGUCGGCCUGCGCGGAAGAUGUAACGGGGCUAAACCAUGCACCGAAGCUGCGGCAGCGACACUAUGUGUUGUUGGGUAGGGGAGCGUUCUGUAAGCCUGCGAAGGUGUGCUGUGAGGCAUGCUGGAGGUAUCAGAAGUGCGAAUGCUGACAUAAGUAACGAUAAAGCGGGUGAAAAGCCCGCUCGCCGGAAGACCAAGGGUUCCUGUCCAACGUUAAUCGGGGCAGGGUGAGUCGACCCCUAAGGCGAGGCCGAAAGGCGUAGUCGAUGGGAAACAGGUUAAUAUUCCUGUACUUGGUGUUACUGCGAAGGGGGGACGGAGAAGGCUAUGUUAGCCGGGCGACGGUUGUCCCGGUUUAAGCAUGUAGGCUGGUUAUCCAGGCAAAUCCGGAUAAUCAAGGCUGAGGUGUGAUGACGAGGCACUACGGUGCUGAAGUAACAAAUGCCCUGCUUCCAGGAAAAGCCUCUAAGCAUCAGGUAACAUCAAAUCGUACCCCAAACCGACACAGGUGGUCAGGUAGAGAAUACCAAGGCGCUUGAGAGAACUCGGGUGAAGGAACUAGGCAAAAUGGUGCCGUAACUUCGGGAGAAGGCACGCUGGUGUGUAGGUGAAGUCCCUGCGGAUGGAGCUGAGACCAGUCGAAGAUACCAGCUGGCUGCAACUGUUUAUUAAAAACACAGCACUGUGCAAACACGAAAGUGGACGUAUACGGUGUGACGCCUGCCCGGUGCCGGAAGGUUAAUUGAUGGGGUUAUCCGUAAGGAGAAGCUCUUGAUCGAAGCCCCGGUAAACGGCGGCCGUAACUAUAACGGUCCUAAGGUAGCGAAAUUCCUUGUCGGGUAAGUUCCGACCUGCACGAAUGGCGUAAUGAUGGCCAGGCUGUCUCCACCCGAGACUCAGUGAAAUUGAACUCGCUGUGAAGAUGCAGUGUACCCGCGGCAAGACGGAAAGACCCCGUGAACCUUUACUAUAGCUUGACACUGAACAUUGAGCCUUGAUGUGUAGGAUAGGUGGGAGGCUUUGAAGCGUGGGCGCCAGUCUGCGUGGAGCCAACCUUGAAAUACCACCCUUUAAUGUUUGAUGUUCUAACGUUGGCCCCUGACCGGGGUUGCGGACAGUGUCUGGUGGGUAGUUUGACUGGGGCGGUCUCCUCCCAAAGCGUAACGGAGGAGCACGAAGGUUAGCUAAUCCUGGUCGGACAUCAGGAGGUUAGUGCAAUGGCAUAAGCUAGCUUGACUGCGAGCGUGACGGCGCGAGCAGGUGCGAAAGCAGGUCAUAGUGAUCCGGUGGUUCUGAAUGGAAGGGCCAUCGCUCAACGGAUAAAAGGUACUCCGGGGAUAACAGGCUGAUACCGCCCAAGAGUUCAUAUCGACGGCGGUGUUUGGCACCUCGAUGUCGGCUCAUCACAUCCUGGGGCUGAAGUAGGUCCCAAGGGUAUGGCUGUUCGCCAUUUAAAGUGGUACGCGAGCUGGGUUUAGAACGUCGUGAGACAGUUCGGUCCCUAUCUGCCGUGGGCGCUGGAGAAUUGAGGGGGGCUGCUCCUAGUACGAGAGGACCGGAGUGGACGCAUCACUGGUGUUCGGGUUGUCAUGCCAAUGGCACUGCCCGGUAGCUAAAUGCGGAAGAGAUAAGUGCUGAAAGCAUCUAAGCACGAAACUUGCCCCGAGAUGAGUUCUCCCUGAGACUUUAAGUCUCCUGAAGGAACGUUAAAGACGAUGACGUUGAUAGGCCGGGUGUGUAAGCGCAGCGAUGCGUUGAGCUAACCGGUACUAAUGAACCGUGAGGCUUAACCUU